AGUGAACGCUGGCGGCAGGCCUAACACAUGCAAGUCGAACGGCAGCACAGUAAGAGCUUGCUCUUACGGGUGGCGAGUGGCGGACGGGUGAGGAAUACAUCGGAAUCUACUUUUUCGUGGGGGAUAACGUAGGAAAACUUACGCUAAUACCGCAUACGUCCUACGGGUGAAAGCAGGAGAUCUUCGGACCUUGCGCGAUUGAAUGAGCCGAUGUCGGAUUAGCUAGUUGGCGUGGUAAAGGCCCACCAUGGCGACGAUGCGUAGCUGGUCUGAGAGGAUGAUCAGCCACACUGGAACUGAGACACGGUCCAGACUCCUACGGGAGGCAGCAGUGGGGAAUAUUGGACAAUGGGCGAAAGCCUGAUCCAGCCAUACCGCGUGAGUGAAGAAGGCCUUCGGGUUGUAAAGCCCUUUUGUUGGGGAAGAAGAGCAGCAUGUUAAUACGUCGCUGUUCUGACGGUACCCAAAGAAUAAGCACCGGCUAACUACGUG
rnacentral:rRNA from 1 species